GGGGACAUAAGCAGCUAUUUCAGAGUCCAGGAAGUAAAGUGGAGCCCAACCCUGCGGUGGGGAUUCCUUUCCUAUACCCAUGAAUGGCCUGUGAAGGUCUGAGCAGCCUGGGGGGUGUGGGGGAGCUGGCUGUGCCCACUGGACAGUGUUCCCUUACAAAGCAGCAGCCGCCGUAGAAAUAACAAAUGGUAAGAACACCAGAGAACAGGAGAGAAGAGAGCUGCUGUGAUUUGAAUAUCAAUAGGACCUUCCCUCAUUAUCCAUAGGUUGGUAAAGUCCUGGACAAUUAGGUUACAAAUACAAUACAAUAUAGCACUAACCAGGAGAAGGGAAAGAACCUGCUGGCCAAGUUCUGUCCCCAGCAUUACAGAGAAUAAUUUAAAGCUUUGGCAAGCCCGCACUGGAUGCUUUUAGAUUCAAAGCAGUACAGCAAUUGUCAGCCCUAAUAGCUAUCUGCGGAUGUCGAUGGAUUGGGAAUUGCACACCCCUGGAAAAAUCAAUUUCUAUAAAGUUUUUUAAAUGGAAAGAGCGGCGGUAUCUUCUAUGUGACUGGUAGAGUAGAGAACAUCGCAGCGGAAGAGCUUCGGGCCUUCUGUAAACUGGUGACCGAGCAGCCUUAACUCCUGUUCUCAUGUGAGUCAUCCUCUCAUUCCAGAAAUGUCUACUGAGAGUGCACUGUGUGUCGGGAACUGUGCUGGACUCUCUGGGCCAGGAGCUCCAGUGGCCUCGUCCACUAUAGCAGCCAUGAGCCACGUGUGGCUACUGAAAGUCUGUUAGUCACACUCUACCCAUUUCACGGGCUCCACUGGGCCAGCGGCUAGUGGCUACUGCGUGGGCCAGCCCAGAUGCAAGGACACCAGAAUCCAAGGUCUUGCCCAAGUGCCGUGGCGGCCCUUGUCUUCCUUUCGCCCAUCUCCCCCAGGAGAGCCACGCUCUUGCCUGCUCGCAGGGUUGGUGUUGUGCUCAGUGCAUUUCACUGCCCUGGCCAGACAGAAAGUACCACUGAGGCACCCAGUGUUCCGUGUGAUGGCUUGGUAAGCAUACUCCCACAAUUAUAGCAUCUAUAUGUAAAGAUGAUCAUCUAGAACUAAUCGUCCAGGCUCCAAAAGGGUCUUGGCCAAGUUGACAGGUCACUAGGGAAGAAAAGUUGUAUAGGGAGUUCUUUGGGCACCAACUUUUAUUUUUUUCCAUGUCGCAUAAAAUUUUGGUUCACAAGUUUCCCCCAGGAUAGGAUAAGCAGGGGAAAAUUUCCAUUUGCUCUCCACAGAUCAUUGCCAAGGGGUAAGGCCAGGAGGCCAGGAGGCUGAGAGAAGCCUGAGUUCGGGGUGGGGAGGGGUAUUUCGCAUCUUUUCAAUAUAAUUCUCAGAGAAGCCAGGAAAGACUUCCCGGCCUGGGCAGCUCAUUGUCCCAGUUUUCCCAGAACUGAGAAGUGGAACUCAGCACUCAAAGCAGGAAAGAGGCAGGGGUUGUGUGAUGGACUAAGCAGCUCCUUGGGACACCUGCAUCUCCUACUGCAGUGCCUGGUUCUAGUCCAGGUUGUUCUGCUUUGGAUCCAGCUUCCUGAUAAUGUGCCCAGGAGACAGCAGAUGAUGGCUCAAGUUCUUGGGUCCCUGUCUCCAUGUAGGAGACACAGGUGGAGUUUCAGGCUCCUGGCUUCAGCCUGACCUGGCUGUUGCAGACAUUUGGGGAGUAAACCAGCAGAUAGAACUUACUCUCUUUCUCUCUCUCUCUUUUCAAAUAAAUAUAAAUAAGUAGAUAAAUAUUUUAAAAAA
ensembl:lncRNA